GAUGAACGCUGGCGGCGUGCCUAAUACAUGCAAGUCGAGCGAACAGAUGAGGAGCUUGCUCCUCUGACGUUAGCGGCGGACGGGUGAGUAACACGUGGAUAACCUACCUAUAAGACUGGGAUAACUUCGGGAAACCGGAGCUAAUACCGGAUAAUAUAUUGAACCGCAUGGUUCAAUAGUGAAAGACGGUUUUGCUGUCACUUAUAGAUGGAUCCGCGCCGCAUUAGCUAGUUGGUAAGGUAACGGCUUACCAAGGCGACGAUGCGUAGCCGACCUGAGAGGGUGAUCGGCCACACUGGAACUGAGACACGGUCCAGACUCAUACGGGAGGCAGCAGUAGGGAAUCUUCCGCAAUGGGCGAAAGCUUGACGGAGCAACGCCGCGUGAGUGAUGAAGGUCUUCGGAUCGUAAAACUCUGUUAUUAGGGAAGAACAAAUGUGUAAGUAACUAUGCACGUCUUGACGGUACCUAAUCAGAAAGCCACGGCUAACUACGUG
rnacentral:rRNA from 1 species